rnacentral:rRNA from 1 species
CCCUUAGAUGUCCGGGGCCGCACGCGCGCUACAAUGGAUGAAUCAACGCGUCAUCCUGGCCCGAAAGGGUUGGGGAACCGCUGAACCUCAUCCGUGGUUGGGAUUGGGGUUUGCAAUUAUUCCCCAUGAACUAGGAAUUCCCAGUAAGCGCGAGUCAUAAGCUCGCGUUGAUUACGUCCCUGCCCUUUGUACACACCGCCCGUCGCUACUACCGAUUGGAUGGUUUAGUGAGAUCCUCGGAUUGGUCACGGCACGGUGGCAACACUGCGUCGGUGUGCCGAGAAGACGAUCAAACUUGAUCAUCUAGAGGAAGUAAAAGUCGUAACA